GGAGUGAACGCUGGCGGCAGGCCUAAUACAUGCAAGUCGAACGGCAGCACGGCAGAGCUUGCUCUGUGGGUGGCGAGUGGCGGACGGGUGAGGAAUACAUGGGAAUCUGCCCAGUCGUGGGGGAUAACGUAGGGAAACUUACGCUAAUACCGCAUGCGCCCGUUCGGGGGAAAGCCGGGGACCUUCGGGCCUGGCGCGAUUGGAUGAGCCCAUGUCGGAUUAGCUAGUUGGCGGGUAACGCCCACCGAAGGCGACGAUCCGUAGCUGGUCUGAGAGGAUGAUCAGCCACACUGGAACU
rnacentral:rRNA from 1 species